rnacentral:other from 1 species
AUGGUUCUGCGAUGAGCGAUAGCUUUACAUUAAUUCAACCAACACAUCAGAUAAGGGAUUCUGUAGUUUAGAGAAAUAAAACAUGCCUCUUUUAUGUGGACGUUUGAAGUUCUCUAACAAGUCACCCACCUUUAGGGGCGGGUCUGAAUUAAACUAGGGCAACGUCAUUGUGGAACUUUU